UACAGAGGGUGCGAGCGUUGUCCGGAAUUACUGGGCGUAAAGGGCGCGUAGGCGGCCUGGUAAGUCGGGGGUGAAAGUCAGCGGCUCAACCGCUGGACUGCCUUCGAGACUGCCUGGCUUGAGCAUGGUAGAGGCUGGCGGAAUUCCCGGUGUAGCGGUGGAAUGCGUAGAGAUCGGGAAGAACAUCGGUGGCGAAGGCGGCCAGCUGGGCCAUUGCUGACGCUGAGGCGCGACAGCGUGGGGAGCAAACAGG
rnacentral:rRNA from 1 species